GUGGGGAAUUUUGGACAAUGGGGGCAACCCUGAUCCAGCAAUGCCGCGUGAGUGAAGAAGGCCUUCGGGUUGUAAAGCUCUUUUGUCAGGGAAGAAACGGUGUGGGCUAAUAUCCUGCACUAAUGACGGUACCUGAAGAAUAAGCACCGGCUAACUACGUGCCAGCAGCCGCGGUAAUACGUAGGGUGCAAGCGUUAAUCGGAAUUACUGGGCGUAAAGCGUGCGCAGGCGGUUUUGUAAGUCUGUCGUGAAAUCCCCGGGCUCAACCUGGGAAUUGCGAUGGAGACUGCAAGGCUAGAAUCUGGCAGAGGGGGGUAGAAUUCCACGUGUAGCAGUGAAAUGCGUAGAGAUGUGGAGGAACACCGAUGGCGAAGGCAGCCCCCUGGGUCAAGAUUGACGCUCAUGCACGAAAGCGUGGGGAGCAAACAGGAUUAGAUACCCGAGUAGUCC
rnacentral:rRNA from 1 species